CAAUUGGACAUUGACUGACAUUACCUUGAUUCAUUCUCAUUGCAUCCAUAACCAUAUUUCUGUAAGGAAUAGUGUUGUCAUUUGUCGCUUUAUGCACGUUGCUAGCACUAGAAGUUGACCUAACCACCAUUUCUCUCAUUCUCCUCUUACUAACAAAUACUUCUCCAUGUGCAUACCAACACUGGUAAUUCUCCAUAAACCCUUUAUGUAGAAGAUGU
rnacentral:lncRNA from 1 species